UGGGGAAUAUUGGACAAUGGGCGCAAGCCUGAUCCAGCCAUGCCGCGUGGAUGUAGAAGGCCCUAGGGUUGUAAAGUCCUUUCACCGCCGAGGAUAAUGACGGUAGGCGGAGAAGAAGCCCCGGCUAAUUUCGUGCCAGCAGCCGCGGUAAUACGAAAGGGGCUAGCGUUGUUCGGAAUUACUGGGCGUAAAGCGCACGUAGGCGGCAUAUCAAGUUGGGGGUGAAAUCCCGGGGCUCAACUCCGGAACUGCCUCCAAAACUGGUAAGCUAGAGGAUGUGAGAGGAUAGUGGAACUCCGAGUGUAGAGGUGAAAUUCGUAGAUAUUCGGAGGAACACCAGUGGCGAAGGCGGCUCACUGGCUCGAUACUGACGCUGAGGUGCGAAAGCGUGGGGAGCAAACAGGAUUAGAUACCCGGGUAGUCC
rnacentral:rRNA from 1 species